GACUACCCGAGUAUCUAAUCCUGUUCGAUACCCACGCUUUCGUGCCUCAGCGUCAGUCGGGCGCCGGUAUGCUGCCUUCGCAAUCGGAGUUCUGCGUGAUAUCUAUGCAUUUCACCGCUACACAACGCAUUCCGCAUACUUCUCGCCCACUCAAGACCGACAGUUUCAACGGCGGAAAGAGGUUGAGCCUCUCGAUUUUACCGCUGACUUUCCAGUCCGCCUACUCAACUUUUAAACCCAAUAAAUACGGAUAACGCUUGCCCCCUACGUAUUACCGCGGCUGCUGGCACGUAGUUAGCCGGAGCUUCUUAAUCAGGUACCGUCAUUUUCUUCCCUGCUGAUAGAGCUUUACAUACCGCACUACUUCUUCACUCACGCGGCGUCGCUGCAUCAGGGUUUCCCCCAUUGUGCAAUAUUCCCCACUGCUGCCACCCGUAGG
rnacentral:rRNA from 1 species